AUGGGCGGCGAUGACUGGGUAAAGUUUGUCUCGGACUACCAUCUUGGCGGUGGUGAGUUGGUGGUUUUUGACACAUCUCGGCGCAUGGCCAAGGCAUAUGUAUGCUAUGUUGGUUGCAUGCGUGUUGCAAAUGACGGGGGCCCAGCUGAGCACACGAUUGUUGAUGAGGAUGCGGGAGACCAGGGCGCUGCAGCAGGUGGGAUCAACAUUGGGUCUGAUGAUGAGGUCCUAAAUGAUGAACAUGAUGAAGUAGCUGCUCCACUAGUUGUUUUCACAAAGGGCAUUGUUCUAAGUUAUGAUGAAGUAUCAAAGUUGGAUUUAGUUCUUACCAACAAUGAUGGGUGCAUUGGAUGUCCUUUCGUGCACCAUCUCACAGCCACGAACGUUGCAAGCAAGCAGAUGAAAAUUCCAAGGAGGGUGAUUGAAGGGUUGAACUUGCUACCAGAAGGUGUUGUUGGUAUUUGUUUUGAAGCUGAAGAAUACAUGAAUGUUGGAUACCGCCAAGAUCGUGAUGGGCGCAUGGUUUUCAGCAAGCAAUGGGGUGUCUUUGCAACCCAGAACAACCUUCAAGAAGGAGACGACGUUGUUUUCAAUUUCAAACCCAGCAACCAAGGGGGCGUAAACAUAACAUGUGUUGUGCACAACCUGAGAAUGCCAGCAUAA
rnacentral:rRNA from 1 species